UACGGAGGAUGCGAGCGUUAUCCGGAUUUAUUGGGUUUAAAGGGUGCGCAGGCGGUCCGUUAAGUCAGCGGUCAAAGCCCGGGGCUCAACCCCGGCCCGCCGUUGAAACUGGCAGUCUCGAGUUGGAGAGAAGUAUGCGGAAUGCGCGGUGUAGCGGUGAAAUGCAUAGAUAUCGCGCAGAACUCCGAUUGCGAAGGCAGCAUGCCGGCUCCACACUGACGCUGAGGCACGAAAGCGUGGGUAUCGAACAGG
rnacentral:rRNA from 1 species